rnacentral:rRNA from 1 species
UACGAAGGGGGCUAGCGUUGCUCGGAAUCACUGGGCGUAAAGCGCACGUAGGCGGACUCUUAAGUCAGGGGUGAAAUCCUGGAGCUCAACUCCAGAACUGCCUUUGAUACUGAGAGCCUUGAGUUCGGGAGAGGUGAGUGGAACUGCGAGUGUAGAGGUGAAAUUCGUAGAUAUUCGCAAGAACACCAGUGGCGAAGGCGGCUCACUGGCCCGAUACUGACGCUGGGGUGCGAAAGCGUGGGGAGCAAACAGG